AGAGAGAGAGAGAGAGAGCAGUGCAAAGUUUAGCUCUUAGGUUAUAUAACAAAAAUGGAUGUCAAUUAAACGCCCGUCUAUAGAGAUUAGGCUUUUUUGACCAAAUUUUUCAAUGUUUUAACUUUAAGAGUAAUUGUCAUGGGUUUAAAUGAAUCAACUAAAUUGACAAGAGUUUAUUUGACUCUAAUAAUAAUUGGCAAAGGUUUAAAAUGGAUCAACUAAAUUGACAAGAGCUUAUUU
rnacentral:misc_RNA from 1 species